rnacentral:rRNA from 1 species
GACGGAUGGGGCUAGCGUUGUUCGGAAUUACUGGGCGUAAAGGGCGCGUAGGCGGCCAAUUAAGUUAGACGUGAAAGCCCUGGGCUUAACCUAGGAAUAGCGUUUGAUACUGGUUGGCUAGAGUUCGGUAGAGGAAAGCGGAAUUCCUAGUGUAGAGGUGAAAUUCGUAGAUAUUAGGAAGAACACCAGAGGCGAAGGCGGCUUUCUGGCCCGAUACUGACGCUGAGGCGCGAAAGCGUGGGGAGCAAACAGG